rnacentral:rRNA from 1 species
AUUGAACGCUGGCGGCAUGCCUUACACAUGCAAGUCGAACGGCAGCGCGGGGCAACCUGGCGGCGAGUGGCGAACGGGUGAGUAAUAUAUCGGAACAUACCCUAGAGUGGGGGAUAACGUAGCGAAAGUUACGCUAAUACCGCAUACGCACUAAGGUGGAAAGUGGGGGGAUCUUCGGACCUCAUGCUCAUGGAGUGGCCGAUAUCUGAUUAGCUAGUUGGUGAGGUAAAGGCUCACCAAGGCGACGAUCAGUAGCUGGUUUGAGAGAACGACCAGCCACACUGGAACUGAGACACGGUCCAGACUCCUACGGAGGCAGCAGUGGGGAAUUUUGGACAAUGGGGGCAACCCUGAUCCAGCAAUGCCGCGUGAGUGAAGAAGGCCUUCGGGUUGUAAAGGCUACUUUUGUUCUAGGGAAGAAACGGUAGAG